CCUACGGGUGGCAGCAGUGAGGAAUAUUGGUCAAUGGUCGGGAGACUGAACCAGCCAAGCCGCGUGAGGGAUGAAGGUACAGAGUAUCGUAAACUUCUUUUGUCAGGGAACAAAGGCGGGGACGCGUCCCCGGAUGAGUGUACCUGAAGAAAAAGGAUCGGCUAACUCCGUGCCAGCAGCCGCGGUAAUACGGAGGAUGCGAGCGUUAUCCGGAUUUAUUGGGUUUAAAGGGUGCGCAGGGGGGGUGGUAAGUCAGCGGUGAAAGCCCGGGGCUCAACCCCGGGCCGCCGGUUGAAACUGGCAGUCUCGAGUUGGAGAGAGGUAGGCGGAAUGCGCGGUGUAGCGGUGAAAUGCAUAGAUAUCGCGCAGAACUCCGAUUGCGAAGGCAGCAUGCCGGCUCCACACUGACGCUGAGGCACGAAAGCGUGGGUAUCGAACAGGAUUAGAUACCCCUGUAGUC
rnacentral:rRNA from 1 species